CAGGACUGUUCUCUGUGCUCUUCAUGCCAGUUCAGUGCCCCUCGCUGGAGUCUUGCCAGGACCCUGACCCAGAAGCUUGAAGGCCUCCAUGGUGACUGAUAGGCCCAAGUAAAAGCAGCCUCAGUGCCCCAAAGCUCCUGUGACACAAGCGUCCACACUGAAGGUCCACAUCGUCCACUCAACCCCACCCCUCCAGGAGUCAGAGGCUUGAAGGAACACAAGCAACCAGGGGAGGACUGAGCAGCUUCCGAGACAUCUACAAAAGGAUAGAAAAGAUGGUCACCAGGGGCACCAACAUGUGAGUAAAGAAAAGGGAAGAGCCAACAGCCAUAGAUGGAUGGAUGGAUCCCAAGUCUUCGAUCCCAGGGAAAUGAUCAGAAAUCCAAGAUGUCUAUUUCCAUGUGAGAUGAAAUAACUGCACCCAUCGAAGCCAGCCUCAUGCCAGGCCCCUAUCCCACUCCCACUCCCACUCCCACUCCACCCAGACACCAACAACCUUGUAGCCUGAGUGCCAAAUGAUCCUUUGGGUCAAUCCAGAUACCUCUGCUCAGAAGAAACUGGCCAACAGUGGACAGGAAGACUGGAGCAGGUGUGUGUCCUCUGAAGCAGAGAACCACAUGCUGCCUAAGGACUCAGGCUUCACAUUCUGGGAGAGGGCCCAAGAGGAGGCAGGAGGAGCAGUGUAGCCAUGUACUCCUCACCAGUUGUCCCCCUCUCCCAUCAGCCCAUGUGCAGGAAAUCCCUCAACCCUAAAAUACAAAGACCAUCCCAGCCAGGAGCCUGAUCCUGGGGACACUUUGAGGCCACUGCAAAUACUAGGAUCCCAAGAAAGAACACAGGCCUGUCCACAUUGACCCCUUUCCCCACCCAAAUGUUAUCCCCUUCCUAAGAGGCAAGAACUCCACCUGCUCUAGGCUUAAAGACCAAAAGGUCAGUAAGAGGCAGAAGUCCCUGACAUGGCUGAGGAUGAAGAUGAGCAUGGGGGCUGCCCCUGACUAUGGCCUGG